rnacentral:rRNA from 1 species
AGAGCGAACGCUGGCGGCAGGCUUAACACAUGCAAGUCGAGCGCCCCGCAAGGGGAGCGGCAGACGGGAGAGUAACACGUGGGAACGUACCUUUCGGUUCGGAACAACCCAGGGAAACUUGGGCUAAUACCGGAUACGUCCGUAAGGAGAAAGAUUUAUCGCCGAAAGAUCGGCCCGCGUCUGAUUAGCUAGUUGGUGAGGUAACGGCUCACCAAGGCGACGAUCAGUAGCUGGUCUGAGAGGAUGAUCAGCCUCACUGGGACUGAGACACGGCCCAGACUCCUACGGGAGGCAGCAGUGGGGAAUAUUGGACAAUGGGCGCAAGCCUGAUCCAGCCAUGCCGCGUGGGUGAUGAAGGCCCUAGGGUUGUAAAGCCCUUUCGGGCGGGGAAGAUAAUGACGGUACCCGCAGAAGAAGCCCGGCUAACUUCGCGCCAGCAGCCGC